GGGAAUCUACCCAUCUCUGCGGAAUAGCUCUGGGAAACUGGAAUUAAUACCGCACACGCCCUACGGGGGAAAGAUUUAUCGGGGAUGGAUGAGCCCGCGUUGGAUUAGCUAGUUGGUGGGGUAAAGGCCUACCAAGGCGACGAUCCAUAGCUGGUCUGAGAGGAUGAUCAGCCACAUUGGGACUGAGACACGGCCCAAACUCCUACGGGAGGCAGCAGUGGGGAAUAUUGGACAAUGGGCGCAAGCCUGAUCCAGCCAUGCCGCGUGAGUGAUGAAGGCCUUAGGGUUGUAAAGCUCUUUCACCGGUGAAGAUAAUGACGGUAACCGGAGAAGAAGCCCCGGCUAACUUCGUGCCAGCAGCCGCGGUAAUACGAAGGGGGCUAGCGUUGUUCGGAAUUACUGGGCGUAAAGCGCACGUAGGCGGAUAUUUAAGUCAGGGGUGAAAUCCCAGAGCUCAACUCUGGAACUGCCUUUGAUACUGGGUAUCUUGAGUAUGGAAGAGGUAAGUGGAAUUGCGAGU
rnacentral:rRNA from 1 species